UAUGUUUCUUUUUUUUUUGUGUCCUCUUUUUUUAACUAAAUACAAGAAUAUUUCUUAAUCUACGACGGAAAUACGAACGGAUUUAUCAUUGAUUAAAACAUUUUUACAAAUAACGACGAAAUCAAUGAGAACUAUAACAAACUUUUAUGAAAUUUUUCAACGAUCAGCUUUAACUAUCCUCGGUAUAUCAACUUUGAUAUCAAUACAUUUGAAGAAGUACUAAUAAACUCUCUAGGCUCUCGAUUUACAAGGAUUUUUCUACGGAAUGUCAUUAUUUCCUCUUUAUUGUAAUUAUUUCUUAUAACAAAACUAUUGUUUAUUAAUUAAUUAAUAAAAUUAUGAGUGGAACCCAA